AUAAGAUAUCUUGGCAGACAUUUUUGUUUUUGUUUUAGCGAAUUAAUUUACUUCAUGUUUACAGAUUGCUUUUUUUAUGUUUUAUUGAUUAAUUGUGAUGGUGAAACAAACUGAAAGGUAAAAAACGUUAAUUGAUUAUUCAUGGAACCUGCUGAAUUUGUUGUCAUCAUGAUAGUGAAAGUAAAAAAUAUAACCCUCAUUUCAAUUAGAGAAAAGUGAUUUACUCUUGAAAUUUGAGGUUUGACUUCAAUAACUGAUCUCUUUUGAUAUCGUCUGACAUAGUGUUUAUUCAUUAUUCAUCUAUAUGUCGGAUUAAUCGUGAUUCCAACAAUCAGUUACACUAUUUAUUAACAUCAGUCAAGGAAAACAAUUCAAUGGACACCAAUAAUUAUGGUUUCUUUGGUUGAUUCCGUAAACCUGAGGACAUAAAGAUUAACCAAAGGAAUUUACCAAUUCACACAAUCAUGGAUAACAUUCAAAUGGUAGCAAGUUUCAUUACCAACGGAUCACUAAUCAAGCUUUACUGACAAUUAGAUGGUAAAGAUUGAUCAUGGAUAAAGCCUGCUAUAAAAAUUGUUGAAACAAUUGUUGAAAACUGGGAUUAAACCAAUACUACAUACUAAACAUGGAUUUUACCCUUGAAACUGUUUGUUAACAAACUGAACAUUUAACAAUUGAGUAAACCUUAAAUUUCCAACAAUUAACUAUGAACUUAAGAACUGGAAAUUGUAACAAUUUGCCUGCUAUUUCAAGCUUUUAUAAAAUUAUUUUAAGAUUAUGAAAAGACAAAGACGGUUCAUCAUAAUGAUGAUCAUCAUCAUUAUUAUCACUACAUUUUCAUCUUCAUAUUUUUCCUCAUCUUUUUCACUGUCACCAUGAGAGCUGUUUUCACAUCUUACUCCAGUUUUGUAUUUAAAAAUACAGAAGAAGAAAAAAAUGUUGCUGUCAUCCAAAUCAUCAUCAUUAUCAUCAUUUGGAAACCCUUGCUUUAUCAUUAGCUUAAAUUACUCUCCACCAAGAUAAUGUAUUAUCAUCACAUCCAGAAAUAUUUUACAACCAAAUCAUCAAUUCAACUUGAGUCAACCCAUAUUUUGUGAAAGCCACCAUUAAUAUAAUUCAAACUCCCUGAUCAGUUUGAAUAAUCUGAGAUUGGAGUCAAAAAACCUUUUCAAAUGGCUGGUUAAUAAAGCAACAACAAGGAAAAGGGCAAAAGUGAUGUUCAUCUAUUGAUUUUACGCAUAGAAAUUCAAUUAAUUUUCCGACAAAUGAGUCUAGCAAAAUUGAUUAUGGAUUAAAGAAAGGCAAAAAGGUAAUCAAUUUUAAUCAAUAUUAACUUGAUUCAAUGGGAAUAAUUCACUCUUUAUAAUAUCGCCAAAAAACAUUGAUUCAUCUAAUUGAUUAGCUCAUGUUUAUUAAUGCUGUUAUCCUUUCAACUUUCAUUACUUGGAACCAUUUUUGUCCAAUUAACCUGUUAUUUGUAUUAUUGAACCUUUUUUUGUUGUUUUUCAACCUUUCAAUAAAAAUCUCAAACUGAUUGUUUAAUGAGCUCA